GUUCGCUCGUCCAUCAGCAGAGCAAUAAAACCAAAAUAACACUAUGUAAAAAUGUUUUGUGUGCCUUCCCUCCCCUUCCGCCUUGCGACCCGGUGAGAUCUUUGCCAUAACUCGACGUGAGAGCUCGACCGUCUCUGGUCUGGCUCUCGACGUUCGACGCUUGACGCUCGACUCUUGACGCUCAGCGCUCGCUCUCGCGGCAUUCGCGUUCGCAUUCGGUUCGCCAGCUUUCGGUUUUCGUUUCAGUUCAGUUUUUGUCUAAACCGAAAAAAAUAUUGAAUUUAAUUUUUUUAGUGUUAGUUGCUCUCUAACAAUUUCGGAGUCGUUAUCUCGCAUGCGCGUCGCGGAUUUCGAAUUUCAGUGUCUCGUCUUCUGUUGGCCCUUGCCAUUUGGUGUCUAUGUGUGCGUGAGCGCCAGUAUUAAUCCCAAAUUUCGAGUCCCAGCGAAUCCAAGCGAUCACCCUUACAUACACACAAGCACAGAUACACACACAUAUAUACCUUUGAUCGAACAUUCCUGGAGCUGCUAUUAUUCCUAGAGCUUCUCGUGCGUGAUUCAACCAAAGACUCGUAAAUAAUGUCGUACAGCUCGAUAUCGACAGUCGGAGGUAUUAUCGCUGGCCGGGUCGGUGGUGCGACUAAUGGCAAUAAAAGCCAGUGCUUCAAGCAUUAUGAUGUUUAAUACUUAAUCAUAUAAUACAAUAACAUUAACUGCAUUAAUUGAACCACAAGUUUACGACUUUAAACACGUCCUCUGUGUUUUCUUUUCAAUUUAACGAGUGCCCAAAAACUCAAUAAAUAUUUUCUUGUUGUUGGCGGCUCAUAAUUUGUAUUGAUUUGUAUAAAUUAUAGUGGAUCCUUAUCAUCGCCCCGAGUCGCUGCCAGCAUACAGAUAAGAGCAGCUGAGGUCUUAAAUCUGAUUCGCAACUCUAGUAGUUAAU